rnacentral:rRNA from 1 species
AAUUGAAGAGUUUGAUCAUGGCUCAGAUUGAACGCUGGCGGCAGGCCUAACACAUGCAAGUCGGGCGGUAACAGGAAAGCGCUUGCGCUUUUGCUGACGAGCGGCGGACGGGUGAGUAAUGUCUGGGGAUCUGCCCGAGGGCGGGGGAUAACCACUGGAAACGGUGGCUAAUACCGCAUAAUGUCGCAAGACCAAAGUGGGGGACCUGAAAGGGCCUCACGCCGUCGGAUGAACCCAGAUGGGAUUAGCUGGUAGGUAGGGUAAUGGCCUACCUAGGCGACGAUCCCUAGCUGGUCUGAGAGGAUGACCAGCCACACUGGGACUGAGACACGGCCCAGACUCCUACGGGAGGCAGCAGUGGGGAAUAUUGCACAAUGGGCGCAAGCCUGAUGCAGCCAUGCCGCGUGUAUGAAGAAGGCCUUCGGGUUGUAAAGUACUUUCAGCGGGGAGGAAGGAUUUAGCUUGAACAGAGUUGGAUUUUGACGUUACCCGCAGAAGAAGCACCGGCUAACUCCGUGCCAGCAGCCGCGGUAAUACGGAGGGUGCGAGCGUUAAUCGGAAUGACUGGGCGUAAAGCGCACGCAGGCGGUCAAUUAAGUUAGAUGUGAAAUCCCCGGGCUCAACCUGGGAAUGGCAUCUAAGACUGGUUGACUGGAGUCUCGUAGAGGGGGGUAGAAUUCCAUGUGUAGCGGUGAAAUGCGUAGAGAUGUGGAGGAAUACCGGUGGCGAAGGCGGCCCCCUGGACGAAGACUGACGCUCAGGUGCGAAAGCGUGGGGAGCAAACAGGAUUAGAUACCCUGGUAGUCCACGCUGUAAACGAUGUCGAUUUGGAGGUUGCGGCCUUGAGCUGUGGCUUCCGAAGCUAACGCGUUAAAUCGACCGCC